rnacentral:rRNA from 1 species
UUAUGGCUCAGGAUGAACGCUAGCGACAGGCUUAACACAUGCAAGUCGAGGGGCAGCAUAAAAGUAGCAAGUACUUGGUGGCGACCGGCGCACGGGUGAGUAACGCGUAUGCAACCUACCUAUCAGAGGGGAAUAACCCGGCGAAAGUCGGACUAAUACCGCAUAAAACAGGGGCACCGCAUGGUGAUAUUUGUUAAAGAAAUUCGCUGAUAGAUGGGCAUGCGUUCCAUUAGGUAGUUGGUGAGGUAACGGCUCACCAAGCCGACGAUGGAUAGGGGAACUGAGAGGUUGGUCCCCCACACUGGUACUGAGACACGGACCAGACUCCUACGGGAGGCAGCAGUGAGGAAUAUUGGUCAAUGGGCGAGAGCCUGAACCAGCCAAGUCGCGUGAAGGAAGAAGGAUCUAUGGUUCGUAAACUUCUUUUGCAGGGGAAUAAAGUGCAGGACGUGUCCUGUUUUGUAUGUACCCUGAGAAUAAGGAUCGGCUAACUCCGUGCCAGCCGCUGC